rfam:Brassica napus, WGS project CCCW01000000 data, contig: 32345
GGGUGCAAUCAUAUGAUCACUAAUGCACCGGAUCCCAUCAGAAUUCCGCAGUUAAGCGUGCUUGGGCGAGAGUAGUAUUAGAAUAGUUGAUCUUCCGGGAAGUCCUCGUGUUGCACCCC